rnacentral:lncRNA from 1 species
GGGUGAAGAAGCUUCUCUUCUGAGCUCCUUUAUAACAGCAACCAGUGCCUCAGGGUUUAGGUCAAGAUUGCAGAGUGCUAUGAGGACAGAUAGGGUGUGAUGAUCCAGGCCAGUUUCCAGAAUGUUUGACAUGCCAAAUGCCAGGUCAAGAGACUCUCUAGCAGUACGAGCAGCGCCAGUUUCCAGAAUGUUUGACAUGCCAAAUGCCAGGUCAAGAGACUCUCUAGCAGUACGAGCAGCCCCUGGAUCCAUACGUCUUUCAACUUCCCUUUUUCUUUCUGAAAGUGUAUGUUUUGAUCGACUAAACCUACAAGACAAAAUCUGAAAAACAACCAAAAAAGAUAACUUAUUCCUUUUUGACUAUGAAAAUCACAAUAAAAUUACAAACCAAGAUAAGAAUGGGAGCCCAACUACAAAUUAGGGUUCACAUGCGACCUAAAGAAUUAAUGAAAAGACGAAAAAUCCGGAAAUAAAUAAGUGAGACCUGAGAGAAGUUUUCAUGAGUCCCGAGGCAGAAGACUCCUGAAGGCGAUUCAUUUUUGAAAAUUGAUUGAGGUACGAUUUCUUGCUCACAUUUCUUGACAACUCUGCUGGGGAGGUGUAUAAUUCGUGAAAGGUAUGUCCACAACUCGGAGUGGGAGAACUACGGGAAGAGUUUCACCACCAACAAGUAUUACCUCAUUGGACCCAACUCCAAGACAGGCGAAUCAAGCUUUCUAAGGCGCGAAUCUGGAUUUUGACAGACCAAUACUAGAAGACGCUUUGGAAGGAAGUUCAACUUCGCCACAGAUGGUUGAUUAGCAACAAACAAACACCAUACAUGCGAACACAAGUAUGCAGGGUGAGGAAACAACAAAAGAUCAAAUGACGAUAAAUGUUGUGCAACGGGAGAUGCUGAAGGCGUUGAAGGAGACACGUGAAGAACAAGGAAUGAUGAUGGCAAUGAUGACCAAAAUGCAAAAACAGCAAAAGGAAAUGGUGAAUUUCUGCCAACAAUUGAUGCAAGUCCCAACCUUUAAAGUUGUGUUUCCAGGAAGUACGCAAGUAGCGAGGGCAGGAGCGGAUAACAAUGACAAGAACAAUCAGAAUGCGCCUCCGAUAAAGAAAAGUUAACAAAUUCCAAUUAUCAACCUAAAACCCCAGAACAAUGGUGAUGUGACGAAACAAAGAGUGGAGACGAGCCAACCCCAACCAACAAUCAUUCCAGCCAUCUUCCCCGCAUUUUCACAAGCACAAAUUCAAACCAUUCCAAGCCACAGCCAGCAACCCGGCCAACAAGUGCAACCCAUGCAGGUUUUGCAUGAUGCAAGUGUACACCAGCCAAUCACUUUACCGCAUACACCGCUGAUACAUCAAUACAUUACAACACCCCAGAGAGUUCACACGUCGAACCAGUAUGUGACCAAGAUUAUAUGCUUGACGUAAUCAACCUCCAAGGUCCAGAUUUGUUGUGACGAAAGAGAUGAAGAAGAGACCAGACUUCUGUGUAUACGACAAAUACGUUGUACAUUCCACUAUGGAUUGUUACUGUAACGACCCCAAAUUUCAUACAAUUCAAUUAUCGACUUCAGUCGUUAAUAACACGUCAACUUCCGAUUUUUACAUCAUUAUUCGAUGUUAAACUUAAUAAAAUGCGGAAUAAUUUAAACUUUUCUAUCUUCUUACUUUAAUUCCCUGAAUCAAAACCUUUAUCAUUUACACAUCUCUAAAUCAAUCUUAUUUUAUGCUUCGCUUCAUCACUGUUAUUAUAUAAAAAUUUUACAUUUCAAUCUGAUAACGUUUACAUAUCAGAUAACUCAAACUUGACAGUUUAUCAUUAUAUCAUCAUUGUGACUUAUCAAGUACAUUUCUCAAAACCUUUAUCUUUACCUACAUUUAUACCAUACUUAGCUUAUUACUCACCUUAUCAGAGUUAAUAAAUAAAACUUACAUUCAGAUUCAAUACCCUUUCAUACAAUCAAACAAAACUUAAACUUUAUAACUCAACAUCUAUUAAACAUUAAACAUUAUUCGGAACCUUAAAUUCAGCAAAAGUGUAUAAAUCUUUAAGUAUCACAUCUGAUUCACGUCUUUCAAGUAGCACAUAACUUUACCUUGAAUCUUUAACCUGCAAAAGUGGUUAUUUGCAAGGUUGAGCUCAACAGCCCAGCAAAAUCUAACAGUUUUCAUGCAUCACGUAGCACAUAAUAACAUGAUCAACAUAUAUUUCAUAAACAUUGGACUAACAUAACAUACAUGUUGCAUUUCAUAUGACAAGUAUAAAGAUUGAGUUCCUUACUCAAUCAACGUAGUCAUAAAUUGACUUUAAUGUUUCAUACUUUCAACAUACAUAUAACACAUCAUGCUCUUUGCAAUAAAGAUUUAAAACAGUUAAUCAUCAAGUUCACAUAGAAAAUAGGAACUGAAAGACUUGCCUUGAUCGUUGUUUACCAAUAAUAGCUUAACAGCUUACAGCUAUCUGUUAUAUAAUCAUUCACAUUAACUAUUAGUCACAUAGCAACACAUAGUAGUUGUAAUGUAAACUUUACUCUAUAUCUGAUAACCCUUCUUAUUAAUCAACACACAAUGUUUAAUUUUGAUUGUGUUAACUUUUGACUUACAUCUCACUGUAUUACUUCUUAGGUCGUACUCGAAGUUCAUUCAAGUGUUUAAGUCUUGCUAGGAAUCAUUAUUGAUUUUAUAUUAAACACAUUUCAUAUCUUAUAAUAUUCAUUUCAUUUGACUUAAAACACUUUUUACGUUCUUUAUCAUUUGUUACGGCGUUUCGACGUUCAUUCGUCACACGCCCGAUUUGUCUCUCUUGUGUAUGCUUAGUAUGCUUAUACAACUUAUCUAAUACAUCAAUUAUUAACGUUAAGCAUCAUUAUGUUUACUAACAUUCAUGUUUUAUAACUCAGAACAUCUUUUAUCGUCAGAAACACUACACUUGCAUACGUGCAUGCCCUACACCCUCCGAUUGUCCCCGAAAACACAACAGUCCUAAAAAUGACCAUUUUGACCCCUGUUCCCGACCUCAAAUCGAAAAACUUAAAGAAUAAAAGUUGUAGGUCUAUUUGUCCUCGUUCCAGAUCAUUUUGAAUCGCCUCAAUCGGAGUUCGUAUGAAAAAAUUGCCUAUUUUAUUAAAAACAUGUCAAAACAGUCACACCUUAGGCGCAACUGCGCCCCAAAAGACUUAGGGCACAACGCAACUGCGCCCGUUAGCAGAAACGGGACUCUGAAGUUCAUUGUUCUCGCGAUUUUUUAACCUUUUCUCCUACUAAUCUUCAUAACUUGAGUUUUACACAUCCAAAUUAGUCCGUUUUCGAUUAUAUGGAUUCGUAAUUCAUAGAACUACAAUAUACUAGAAUUAUAACAAUUUACAGAAACACUAACUAGCCUAAAUCUUGACCCAAAACUCAUGUUCAUACUAAACUUUUAUGUUUUAACAUGUUUAGCGAAUUCAUUCACUACGAAUUCGUUUCUUAACCAAAUUGAUUCAUUCAACUUGAGUUCUUUUCGUGUCUUAUCGUAUUAACAUAUUCUCGACUCAAUUUACAGUUUAGUUCACAAACUAACUACCAUUUUUUGUACUUUCACAAGCCAUAUACAUAACCAUAUACACUGUAAACGAUUUUCUUUUUUUUGAACGUAAUUAGCACACUAAUUCCUUGUCUAGAUGCUAACUCUAACAUCACACACUUACUAAUAAACACAAUUAAUCAGUUGGUAUUUCAACAAAUCAUCUAAUUUGAAUUUACAGAAAAUUUGAAACUUGUGAACAUAGAACAUAAUAUUAAGCUUUUAGAAGUAUACAUUCAAUUGCUUGGUAAUCCUUGCUAAAACACAGAGAAUUGCUUAGAAUCACAGUUCUCUCCUUUCUUAAGCUCUCUUUCUCUCAAAUUCUUCUCUGUAAACUCUCCCUUCUUCUCUUCUCUCAGGCUUAGGCCAACUCUUUUACGUACAUAGAAUAAAGCCAACGCAGAAAACUCAAACGUCUAAAACCGACGUUUUAUUAAAUAUAGUAAUUAUAUAUCAGUUAUAAAAUUUAAUAUAUAUUUUUAAUUUUUUUAAUUUUUUUUAAAUCAAAUUCAAAUUCAAAAGCCAUAAGGCUUUGUUUGGCAAAACACUUUUAAAAUAAAGACUUAAUAUCUUUAAGCCUUGUUUGGUAAAUCCAUUUAAAACCACUUUAAUUUACUUUAAUAAAUCAUUUAUAUCAUAGUUUAUUGUCCCACAUUGUUUACUUGGAUUUCCAUAUCCAAUCUUAAUUAAAUAAACAAAACUAAUUACCACAAAAUUAUAAUUUUCAUUAUAAUUUUACUUAAUAAAUUAACAUAUCACUUUAAUUACUAAAUUAAAUUAAAACAACAUUCUAGCAACUAUAUAAUCCUUAACAACUCUCUAAUUUAGUUAUUAAGUUAAAUUAAAGUAUUAUCUCAUAAAUUUAAUUCAUCACUCUUUUAUCUUAAUUAAGUUAAUUUUUAUAACUCAUGAAUUAUUUACUUACUAAUAAAUAAUCCAACAAAUAUCUACUAAACAACAAACACAUCAAUUAAAAAUAUUUAUUUAAUUCAAUAAAUAUUUAAAAUUAUAAAUAAAAUUUUGGAUUGUUACAGUUACAGUUUGCAGAGGAUCUACCAUAAGAAGAGAAGUUGGCGGUAGGAAAAAUCAAAUUGGAAAGAGUAAGCAUCGUGUUGGACAAGUCAUUGCCCAACCACAAAGAAAAAGAAACAUGCAACACCAUUACUCAUAGUGAAGCACCAGAAGGAAGAGAAGUGGAGAUGAUGGAGAACACAGAAGUGAUAGAUGACGAUUCUGAUCCAGGUUUGCAAAUGACCGCGUUGAUUAACGGAGUUAAGUUUAGAAAUUUUUUCAACCAGAUAGGAUUGGCCGAAAAAGCAAGGAUAGAAACAACCAAGACAAUCAUUAAAGUUGCUGAAGCACAAGAGACUUGUAUGGCAGUCAACAAAGGGUUUGGGAGGGCGGUGAAGGAGGAGGAGAACAAAAUCUCUUUCUCUUAAGCUAAAAGAGAGGUGAGGUACUAAAUAAUAGAUCACUGUAUGUGACAACAAUAAUUAAUGACAUGGCAGUGUGGAGGGCGUUCAUCGACAAUGAAACGUCUGUUUAAACGGUAUAUCUAUAAGUGAUGACUUAGUGAGUCACAAAAAGAAAAUUUAUUUUGUGUUAAAAAAAUUAGUGUGAUUGACAUGACCAUCACAAUUAUAAUACAUUGAUGACAAGAUUAGUUAUCACUAAGAGUCAUCAUAUAUACUAUUAUUUUGUGAUUGCUUAAAAAGUCCAUCACAAAUUACUAUCUUUUGUGAUUGUUUUUAAAAACUGUCACAAAGUUCUGUCACGUAUUCUUGUUUUUCUAGUAGUGUAUCAUUGAAGCAGCUUUCUUCGAUGAUGUCAUCGAAGAAGGAGAAAACCAUAUUGUCAAGCCUGAUUCUCUAAAGCUAGCAAGCUAAGAGGAGGUGCAGGAGGACAAGUUUUUGCGAAAGAAAAGAAGCUAACCUUGGAACAAGUUGAAUGUUCCAAAAACAAGAAACAUGUGCAAUUCGAAGGAUAUCAAUGGAAGGACCUGCAGAUGGGGGCAACUGCCGACAUGUGUUUAUCAAUGGAAGGACCUACAGAAAUUUUGUGGUUUUGACCGGUCGCAUGAAGGACCAAUAGGAAGGAGUUGCACCGGUUGCAAGUCUUACCUGCAGCUGGGCACCAACCUCAUCUAAUCUUAGCGCUUAGAUAAUUAGUUCGACGACCACAAAUCUGUUAGUUAGAAUAGUUCCCCCAACUAAUAUAUGUUGUGGAACGGGACCCUAAUAAUAGUAAGAAUAAGAAUAAUAAUAAUACUACUACUAAUAAUAAUAAUAAUAAAAGACUUGAUUUUUAUUUGGUAAUAAGGAGUUUCCAGAUUAAAUUUUGAUUUAUAUUGAUUUAGUUUCAAAAAAAUAAAAUAAUAAUAAUAUAUAAAUAAAUUAGGGAAACAAUGAUUUGAUCAAGAUUUGGAAAUAUUUUAUAAAAGAUUUCCGAGAUGUCCCGGGAGAGCACCUUUAGGGGUUCCUUCUUCUAGAAUUUUAAUUUUCGAGACUUGCAAGAUCAAGAUCAAGCUCCGCGGAUUGUUCAGAAAAUUGAAGCAAAACUCGAAGACUUGAAAUAUUUUGCACGAUCGUCACUCCAAAAGUGUGACUCACGCGCAUGGGGCAAAUGUGACCCCAAAUAAAAAUUAGAGUUCACAUGCAACCUAAAGAAUUAAGUGAAAAGACUAAAAAUCCAAAAAUAAAAAAGCGAGACCUGAAAUAAGCUUUCACAAGUCCCAAGGCAGAACAUUACUAAAGGCGACUCAUUUUUGAGAAUUGAUUAAGGGAUUAGAUUAGUGGCUAAAAUGACAGGAUGAUUUGGUCCUUAUUCGAGUAACUAAGGGUAUUUCUGGAACUUCUUCUGAAGUCGCAUGUCAGGCACAAGACCUAGACGUGUGUCAGGCACGUGACCACUUUCCAGAAAACUCUAUAAAUACUCCCUCCAUUCUAAUAGAAAGGACCUUUUGACUCUCUCUGAACUCUAGACACUCAAGAAAGCCCUCUGGAUCCUUGAUACUUAAGAAGGCUCUUGGAACCUAAAAGUUCUACCACGUUACUGGAGUAAUUGUUCACAUGUUCUUCUCCUCUCUUCAACUCAUCAAUCAAUUACGUACUCUUCGUAAAUUUCUUUCAUCCUCAGCCAACACGAAACCCUAACUUGUUACAAUUUCCUUGCCCACAAAGAAUUUACAUGAACUAGAAACCUAACAUGAUGAAACACCAAGGUGAAAUUUUAACCACGUGGAGGUGUGAACACAUUGCAUACCAACUAAAUGCAGUUGAUCAAACUUUUACAAUAUUAUACAAAAGAUUUGGAAAUGCAAAAGUGUUGAAAGGGAAACUAGUAAGCAGACACAAAACAUAAGCAAUGUCAUGGAAUGAAAAGUUUAUAUAGCAAAAUGAAGCUGAUUUUUACCAUUAUUAUUUUUAGGGCAAGUCAAAUGACGCUGAUCAUUACAGAGCUCAUAAAAUUAGUCUGGAAAAACAAAUUAAUGAUUGAAGUACAUAAUGCAUGUACAAAGAUGUAAAAAUGGAUAUUACAUUUGUUUACAGCUUUGUAAAAGAAUAUGAUUCUGAAAUGAUAUAAUGUAUGAAAUUUGUCUUAUAAACAUUACAAAAAUAUCAUAGUAGAAAAAGGGAAUGAGGGAUAGAAUUAUGAUACAUUUGUCUAUCGAGAAGAUACAUGAAAAUAUUGCAACAUUCUACUAACACUAACAAUAUUAUAAGAACCUAACAGUAAAAAUGCCUAUUAAAGAGGGUCACUUUGUCUGUAAUGUUACUCUUGUAAAGUUCUUUAAACCCCUUUUCUGGAAUUAUACAUAUGAAUAUAAUACACACAUACACACAAACACACAUUGCUAAUUGCAUUAUAGUAGUAAAAAGCUAGAUAUGAAAGGAGUGCAUAAAAUUGGAAUCAGACCCAUCCAUACAAUUCAUCAAACUUUUUAAUCCUUUCCCACAUCCCUUCAAGCCACUUCUCUCUACAACUCUCUCAUUGGCUUCCAUAUAUUUAAAGCAAUCGGUAUUAUGAUUAUCCUAGAAAACCAGUUCCAACACAACAUGCCACAGAUAGGAGAACAUGGUAUGCCCUGUCAACUGUUGCAGAAGGGAACUAUACUGGAAUUACAAAAGAAGAGGACAUGACAUUCGCUCUCAACUGUUGCAGAGGGGAAUAGUUGAGUAGGUGUUGUUUUUCACCCAUUUCACCAUGUUCAAGAUCCUAGAUGUCAGAUUGUUUUGGUCCAUCAAAUUUAGUCCACACUGACAUAGUGUCAAAAUGACUAAGAAGUUCUUUUGAGCAAAUAAUCUGUGAGAUGAACGAUCACCACAAAUCUUUAGAGUUUGGAGAUGUCUCAGAAAUUUAGAUCAAAAUGCAGUUUCUUGAACAAACUUACUCCACAAUGCAGAAUCAUCACCAUUCUAACCGAGACCUCAAGAACAGUCCCCACCCCCCCAAAAAAACUAUAGGAUCAUCAUGGGUUAAGAAAAACAUGCAAGGAUUCUUAGAAAAACAUUGAUGAUGAUGCAUUCAUACUAUGACCAUUAUAAUCUUAGAAAAAGAUCAAGUAAUCUUUAAUAUUUUUCAUGUAUUAUGUUGAAGAAGAUUUUAGCUUAGUGGGGGGGAAAGUAAAAAAUUUGUCCAUUUUCUAUCAGUAUUCUUUUUGUUUUGAAUAUCUCAUCCUUCCUCAAUUGUAUAUAGAGGAAAACAAUCACAAUAAAUAUAUCCAUAGCUAUACAAAAACUACACUCUUUUUGAUAAUUAACAUACAAUACCUACAAUGAAUGACCAAUAGUUAUCAUUCUUUGAUAUGAUCAAUCUGCAUCACUAAGAUUCAAAAGAAACUUCGGCCCCAAAUUCAGAAACCAGAACUACAUCAACUAGUUCUUCUGAAUGUUAUAAAGUUAUUGCCAAUUGAUUUUUUUUAGGUAAAAUUAUUUGGUAAUCCCUAAUACAGUUAUUGUGCUCUUAGGAAAUUCAAUAAAAUUUUCAUCAACUAGGUACCCUAUAGUUCUAAGUCAAGAGUCAAGACUUGUUGACAAGGCGAGUGAAAUACCAUCAACCAGUACAUGAAACAUGAAACUAUAAAUAUAAACACAAGAUUUACAAAAAAUACAUUGAUAUACAAAUGGACAAAUAAGCGUCUAUAUAUAUAUAUAUAUAUAGACUAUAGUUAUGUGAAUUGAGUUCAGAGUUACCUGAAGCGAGGGAUGGGCAGAUCGCCAGAACUGCUACGACCUAGCUUGUUAAUUACGACGGAAACGAUGAAUUUCAGAAUUUAUUUCAAUACUCCUCUGCGAUGGGCUUCGGAUCUCAUGAGACAGAGCAGCC